rnacentral:piRNA from 1 species
UUCGGAAGCUAAGAUCGGACCCGA